CCUACGGGAGGCAGCAGUGAGGAAUAUUGGUCAAUGGGCGCGAGCCUGAACCAGCCAAGUCGCGUGAGGGAUGACUGCCCUACGGGUUGUAAACUUCUUUUAUAAGGGAAUAAAGUGAUGCACGUGUGCCUUUUUGUAUGUACUUUAUGAAUAAGGAUAGGCUAACUCCGUGCCAGCCGACGCGGGAAUACGGAGGAUUCGAGCGUUAUCCGGAUUUAUUGGGGUUAAAGGGAGCGUAGAUGGGUUGUUAAGUCAGUUGUGAAAGUUUGCGGCUCAACCGUAAAAUUGCAAUUGAUACUGGCAGCCUGGAGUACAGUCGAGGUAGGCGGAAUUCGUGGUGUAGCGGUGAAAUGCUUAGAUAUCACGAAGAACUCCGAUUGCGAAGGCAGCUUACUAGACUGACACUGACACUGAUGCGCGAAAGUGUGGGUAUCAAACAGGAUUAGAUACCCUUGUAGUC
rnacentral:rRNA from 1 species